UUGCCACUCACACGUCACACCCAUUAUAAAACACCUCUCUUCUUCAUCUUCUUCUUCAAUUUAUAUAGUCCAACCCCAAAAAUCUCCUUAGCAAAAUACAAAUCCCUUGGGAGUUUAGGAUGAUUUGCAACGUCCAUGCUUCUAACUCUUCUUCUUUGGUACAUGAAGGAUUUAUCGUUGAUCAAUAGGUUACUGCAUACACAAAGCGGGAUACCAGCAAUGCCUCCUUCAACCCUUGAAUUCCCCAAAAUUCAACUCUAAUUCUGCCAUGAACAACACCACUACCAAUGAUAGCAACAAUUUCAACAUCACUGAUUUUCGUGACUCAUCGCCGGCACUCUAAAAAAGCUGACAACAAUGACCACCACUCCUUCAUGAGAAAAUUCAACAAAAAAGGACUCGACGAACAGUGGUGGACAACGCAGAUGAUUUUGAGCGAAAGAUGGUGGUGGGCGGCGCGGACGACUUUUGAGCGAGGGAAAGUGGUGGGCGGCGCGGCGCAGCAGCAUGAUUUUGGACUGUGGUACUUGGAAUGAUGUGCUCCAUCUUACCUAGAAAGCUCUACUCAACAGAAAAGAACAGAAAUUUUCUUAGAUACAAACUCAAGAAGUACAUAAGAUGUUUUACUCCUAGUGGUGACAUCCUCUUCGAGUACCAUGGGGCUCUUAAACAUGGACGAUUCUCAUAGCCAAGAUUGGAAUUUUGGUUCCCCUUGUUGCGGUGGACUAGACACUUUACUACAAGAAUAAACCUCAAUUGGUCAUUCAGCUGUCCCUAGCUGAUUGCACUGGCCGGCCCUGGCCCUGGCCCUAGUUGAUUGGACAAGCUGACUUCGUCCAAUCCAGCCCACUGCGUUGAUUGGUAGUGAUGAAAAAUUGUGUCGUAAGUACAAAAUAAAGGUAUUUCCAUAAGAAAUUACAAAAGAAGUUGGGUUUUCUAAAUCAUCACUAAACGUGAUUAGAAGACAAAUAGUUUAAGAAAGAGUAAAGUAAGAAUAAAAGGAAAAUAGCAUCAGCCAACAGGCAUGGUUAUGGAGUUCACAGUAAAUUGCUGGUUUCUUGCACCAUCUCUGGCGCCGGGCUUAUUAACUUCUCAAAGACAUACUGAUUUUUCACCUUUCAAGUGCUCCAACAUAGCGCCACAAUGAAGAGGAUCUUUUGUCUAUCGGCGGUUGGAGCCGCUACCUAAGAUAAACCUCGUUGCUACCAAUUGGGAAAUGUCUCCUCUUCUCUUAAGUCAAGGUUAUUAAGCUUAGUCUCCAUAUUAUUGAAGACAGAGGGCAUUGGAACAAGGCAUGAAAAAUUGAUUCAUCUUUUAGCAUGCAUCUUGAGCAAGUGGCAGGGGUGGAUGCAAACCAGCUAUGGAUUUGUUGCAACACCAAAAGCUUUUUAUGAAGAUUUCCACAAAAAAUCUUAAUUUUAUGAGGUUCAGUUGGAUUGUGAUUGCAGAUUGAGGGACAUUAAAGGGAAAUGGUGGUGGGAGCCAGUGAUCUUAGAAGAUGCGGACAUUAGCAUCAGAACCUAUUUUCCAUAACAAGCCUUUUUCAUUCAUCUUGCGCCAUUCAAAAACAGGUCUCCAGCCCCACGACAGUAUGCUACCUAUCUUUGCAUCAACAGAAAGCCAAGGGAAUGAGAGAAAGACAGAAUAAUAUUCGCAUAUCUUGGAUUAGGGAUGUAUAAAUAGGAUUCCGAUACAUCCAACCCAGAUCUAUAUCAGAUCGAAUUUUACGAAUAAUAUUCGAUUCACUAGGCAAUUGGAUCUUUAUCCAGUCCGAUCUGCAAGUAUAUAGGAUCGAAUAUCGGAUAUUGGUAUAUCAUUUUCAGAUCCAAUCCAAUGGA